rnacentral:rRNA from 1 species
UAGGGAAUCUUCGGCAAUGGACGAAAGUCUGACCGAGCAACGCCGCGUGAGUGAAGAAGGUUUUCGGAUCGUAAAACUCUGUUGUUAGAGAAGAACAAGGACGUUAGUAACUGAACGUCCCCUGACGGUAUCUAACCAGAAAGCCACGGCUAACUACGUGCCAGCAGCCGCGGUAAUACGUAGGUGGCAAGCGUUGUCCGGAUUUAUUGGGCGUAAAGCGAGCGCAGGCGGUUUCUUAAGUCUGAUGUGAAAGCCCCCGGCUCAACCGGGGAGGGUCAUUGGAAACUGGGAGACUUGAGUGCAGAAGAGGAGAGUGAAAUUCCAUGUGUAGCGGUAAAAUGCGUAGAUAUAUGGAGGAACACCAGGGGCGAAGGCGGCUCUCUGGUCUGUAACUGACGCUGAGGCUCGAAAGCGUGGGGAGCAAACAGG